rnacentral:rRNA from 1 species
UACAGAGGGUGCAAACGUUGCUCGGAAUUAUUGGGCGUAAAGCGCACGUAGGCGGCUUUGCAAGUCGGAUGUGAAAUCCCUCGGCUUAACCAAGGAAGUGCAUCCGAAACUGCAGAGCUUGAGUACUUAAGAGGAUCGCGGAAUUCCCGGUGUAGAGGUGAAAUUCGUAGAUAUCGGGAGGAACACCAGUGGCGAAGGCGGCGAUCUGGGAAGAUACUGACGCUGAGGUGCGAAAGCGUGGGGAGCAAACAGGG